rnacentral:rRNA from 1 species
UACGGAGGGGGCUAGCGUUGUUCGGAAUUACUGGGCGUAAAGCGCACGUAGGCGGCUUUGCAAGUUAGAGGUGAAAGCCCGGGGCUCAACUCCGGAAUUGCCUUUAAAACUGCAUCGCUAGAAUUGUGGAGAGGUAAGUGGAAUUCCGAGUGUAGAGGUGAAAUUCGUAGAUAUUCGGAAGAACACCAGUGGCGAAGGCGGACUUACUGGACACAUAUUGACGCUGAGGUGCGAAAGCGUGGGAGCAAACAGG